rnacentral:rRNA from 1 species
UUGAACUUAAGCAUAUCAAUAAGCGGAGGA